rnacentral:lncRNA from 1 species
UUUAGUAAGGAAAGGGAGAAUGACCUUUUGUAGAGACGACCAUCCAUCAUCACAUACUAGGAAGUGGCCCAUCGAGUUCGUUUUGCUUCUGUAGGAUCUUUAGGGAGGACUCCGUCGGACAGAUACUGGAUGAUCAGAUCCAUCCAACUAGGUUCGACUGUUAGCUGCAACAUUUUUUUAUUUUUGUCGAUGCUCAGUUGCUCAAGACACUCCACGAAUGUUUGGCCCAGCGAACUGUAAGCAGUCAUUGCCAGUGUGGAAAGUGCGUCGGCUUGAGCAUUCUCGAUCCUGGGUAUGUGGAAGAUCUCGAAGUAUCUUAAAUUUAUCAUGAGAUCUUUUACCUUUUGAAGGUAUAUUGCCAUGAUUGGGUCCCGAGCUUCGAAUUUAUCUUUGACUUGUCCCACAAUCAGUUGAGAGACGGUGAAGACUUUCAAACUGUCAAUCUCGAGCUCC